AGCGAAAUUCGAUAAGUAAUGUGAAUUGCAGAAUUCAGUGAACAUCGAAUCUUUGAACGCACCUUGCGCCCUUGGGUAUUCUCAAGGGCAUGCCUGUUUGAGUGUCAUAAUACUCUCAACUCUCAAUCUUUUUGUAAGAGAAGAUUGCUUGGAGUUGGUGAUGGGCGCUUGCCAGAUCCUCCAUUCUUUCUCGCCUUAAAUUAAUCAGUGGAUCUCUUCGAGUCCGGUCUGACUAUGUGUGAUAAUUUGAUCACAUUGUUUCUGCUUGUCACAACCGGAUUCUGUAUAGAGGCUCUGCUUCCAACACGGAAUGAUUCUUCGGAAUCAUCGAUAGCUUUGUAGCUGACCUCAAAUCAGAUUGUUUCCCCCGCCUUA
rnacentral:rRNA from 1 species